UACGUAGGUGACCAGCGUUGUCCGGAUUUACUGGGCGUAAAGAGCGCGCAGGCGGUCGUUCAAGUCGAGUGUGAAAGCCCCCGGCUCAACUGGGGAGGGUCAUUCGAUACUGAUCGACUCGAAGGCAGGAGAGGGAAGCGGAAUUCACGGUGUAGUGGUGAAAUGCGUAGAUAUCGGGAGGAACACCAGUGGCGAAGGCGGCUUCCUGGCCUGUUCUUGACGCUGAGGCGCGAAAGCUAGGGGAGCAAACGGG
rnacentral:rRNA from 1 species